rnacentral:rRNA from 1 species
CCUACGGGGUGCAGCAGUAGGGAAUCUUCCACAAUGGGCGAAAGCCUGAUGGAGCAAAGCCGCGUGUGUGAUGAAGGGUUUCGGCUCGUAAAACACUGUUGUAAGAGAAGAAUGACAUUGAGAGUAACUGUUCAAUGUGUGACGGUAUCUUACCAGAAAGGAACGGCUAAAUACGUGCCAGCAGCCGCGGUAAUACGUAUGUUCCAAGCGUUAUCCGGAUUUAUUGGGCGUAAAGCGAGCGCAGACGGUUAUUUAAGUAUGAAGUGAAAGCCCUCAGCUCAACUGAGGAAUUGCUUUGGAAACGGGAUGACUUGAGUGCAGUAGAGGAAAGUGGAACUCCAGGUGUAGCGGUGAAAUGCGUAGAUAUAUGGAAGAACACCAGUGGCGAAGGCGGCUUUCUGGACUGUAACUGACGUUGAGGCUCGAAAGUGUGGGUAGCAAACAGGAUUAGAUACCCUUGUAGUC